UCCUGCCAGUAGUCAUAUGCUUGUCUCAAAGAUUAAGCCAUGCAUGUCUAAGUACAAGCCAAAUUAAGGUAAAACCGCGAAAGGCUCAUUAAAUCAGUUGUGGUUCCUUAGAUCGUACCGACAGUUACUUGGAUAACUGUGGUAAUUCUAGAGCUAAUACAUGCAAACAGAGGCCCGACCGGAGACGGGAGGGUCGCUUUUAUUAGAUCAAAACGAAUCGGCGGCGUUCACGCGUCGUCGUUGCAUGUGGUGAGUCUGGAUAACUUUUGCUGAUCGCAUGGUCUCGUACCGGCGACGCAUCUUUCAAAUGUCUGCCUUAUCAACUGUCGAUGGUAGGUUCUGCGCCUACCAUGGUUGUAACGGGUGACGGGGAAUCAGGGUUCGAUUCCGGAGAGGGAGCCUGAGAAACGGCUACCACAUCCAAGGAAGGCAGCAGGCGCGCAAAUUACCCACUCCCGGCACGGGGAGGUAGUGACGAAAAAUAACGAUGCGGGACUCAUCCGAGGCCCCGUAAUCGGAAUGAGAACAGUCUAAACCUCUUAACGAGGAUCAAUUGGAGGGCAAGUCAGGUGCCAGCAGCCGCGGUAACUCCCGCUCCAAUAGCGUAUAUUAAA
rnacentral:rRNA from 1 species